rnacentral:tRNA from 1 species
UCCCUGGUUGUCCAGUGGUUAAAACUCUGUGCUUCCAAUGCAGCGGGCACAGGUUUGAUCCCUGGUCAGGGAA